rnacentral:rRNA from 1 species
GAUGAACGCUGGCGGCGUGCCUAAUACAUGCAAGUCGAGCGAACAGACGAGGAGCUUGCUCCUCUGACGUUAGCGGCGGACGGGUGAGUAACACGUGGAUAACCUACCUAUAAGACUGGGAUAACUUCGGGAAACCGAGCUAAUACCGGAUAAUAUAUUGAACCGCAUGGUUCAAUAGUGAAAGACGGUUUUGCUGUCACUUAUAGAUGGAUCCGCGCCGCAUUAGCUAGUUGGUAAGGUAACGGCUUACCAAGGCAACGAUGCGUAGCCGACCUGAGAGGGUGAUCGGCCACACUGGAACUGAGACACGGUCCAGACUCCUACGGGAGGCAGCAGUAGGGAAUCUUCCGCAAUGGGCGAAAGCCUGACGGAGCAACGCCGCGUGAGUGAUGAAGGUCUUCGGAUCGUAAAACUCUGUUAUUAGGGAAGAACAAAUGUGUAAGUAACUAUGCACGUCUUGACGGUACCUAAUCAGAAAGCCACGGCUAACUACGUG